rnacentral:rRNA from 1 species
AGUGAACGCUGGCGGUAGGCCUAACACAUGCAAGUCGAACGGCAGCACAGUAAGAGCUUGCUCUUACGGGUGGCGAGUGGCGGACGGGUGAGGAAUACAUCGGAAUCUACUUUUUCGUGGGGGAUAACGUAGGGAAACUUACGCUAAUACCGCAUACGACCUACGGGUGAAAGCAGGGGAUCUUCGGACCUUGCGCGAUUGAAUGAGCCGAUGUCGGAUUAGCUAGUUGGCGGGGUAAAGGCCCACCAAGGCGACGAUCCGUAGCUGGACUGAGAGGAUGAUCAGCCACACUGGAACAGAGACACGGUCCAGACUCCUACGGGAGGCAGCAGUGGGGAAUAUUGGACAAUGGGCGCAAGCCUGAUCCAGCCAUACCGCGUGGGUGAAGAAGGCCUUCGGGUUGUAAAGCCCUUUUGUUGGGAAAGAAAAGCAGCAGGUUAAUACCCCGCUGUUCUGACGGUACCCAAAGAAUAAGCACCGGCUAACUUCGUG